rnacentral:rRNA from 1 species
GAUGAACGCUGGCGGCGUGCCUAAUACAUGCAAGUCGAGCGAACGGACGAGAAGCUUUCGUCCCUGAUGUUAGCGGCGGACGGGCGAGUAACACGUGGAUAACCUACUUAUAAUACUGGGAUAAUUUCGGGAAACCGGAGCUACUACCGGAUAAUAUUUUGUACCGCAUGGUUCAAAAGUGAAUGACGGUUUUGGCGUCUCUUAUAGAUGGUUCCGUGUUGGAUUAGCUAGUUGGUAAGGUAACGGCUUACCAAGGCAACGAUGCGUAGCCGACCUGAGAGGGUGAUCGGCCACACUGGAACUGAGACACGGUCCAGACUCCUACGGGAGGCAGCAGUAGGGAAUCUUGCACAAAGGGCGAAAGCCUGACGCAGCAAUGCCGCGUGAGUGAUGAAGGUCUUCGGAUCGUAAAACUCUGUUAUUAGGAAAGAACAUAUGUGUAAGUAACUGUGCACGUCUUGACGGUACCUAAACAGAAAGCCACGGCUAACUACGUG